AAAACCCUUGGUCGGUGUUGCUUCUAAAAUUUCACGAAGUUGGGUGGCCUCAUGUAUUCUAACUUUUUAGACUAGAAAAUGAAAAUUCAAUUGAUUGGGAAUACUACAUAUCCAAUAAUUGAGAACAGUGUUCAUCCUCAUUCAUAGGUACACUAUUCAACGUGCAUUCCACGUGCUCCUUUAAGUUAGUACAAAUUCAUAGUUACUUGCAUACGGGUCUCACUCAUUCUUUAUAUUAUUUUUAUCAAUUUUAUUAUAGGUUAUAUAUAUAUUUUUUUUUACGUAAUACCUAAAACUACACAUAGCCUCUCUUCAAUCAAUAAAUAAGAAGAUAAUGUAUUUCAGCAUACUCGAAUCCACGUUCUCCUGCAUUGACAACAAUAUACAUAUCAAUCGAAUUAAGACUCAAUUCUAUAUAUAUAAUAUAUAUAUCCAUGAUUUUGUUUUGGCAAAUUUUGCUAUUUAUAUCAAUAUUCUAAGGUUACAAAAAUAUCUUAUAGUUUAGUUAAAAUUUUUGGUAUACUUUAAUUCUUUACGAGUGCAGAAUAAAAUUUUCGAUUUGUUUUUCCAACAUUUUAUAAUUGUGAUAUAUCCUAAAGACAUGACAACGCUUUUAAAGAAAAUGUUUGUCACACUUUAAAAUCUUUAAGUUAUCUUUUUCUUACAUAAAUUCAACUAAAAAACACAUUGCUUAUUUUGUUCUCUCUUUAAUCAAUAGAAGUAACAAUAGAGCAUUAGAACAUAAACUCUAAAACUAAUCAAUCUACUUUCAUCCCAUCUAAAUAAAAUUAAAUCAAUAUAAAUGGAUAAAUAAUUAAAAUAUAAUUGAACAGAACUCACACCCGAUAAUUAUGCAUGAUAAAAAUUCAAAGCCUCAUCCCAUAAAGGGUUCUAAUUUAGUUGUUAAAAAGUGAAUUUUCUUUUCAUUUUUUUUAAAUAUUUUUCAUAUCUAUUUUAUGGUUCAUGUUUAAGAUUUAUAGUUACACCUCCGAACAAUAUCACCUCCGAUAUUUGAACUAGUAUUUUUUCCUUAAGAGUACAAUAUAUUUUGUCACUUAUAAUAAUUCGAAUACACCAAAUAAUAUAAGACAAGGUAUGCUUCAGAUCUUUCGAAAAAAAAAUUAAAUCCACACAAUUUUUAAACAUUUCUUAUUGUAUUAAAACCAUAUUUCAAAAUUUUUAAUACAAGAAAUAUCUUUUUUUUCCUUCUAUUUUUUUUGGGUAUGAUUAUGGGUUUUUAUUUAUCUUUACAAUAGACAAUGAAACAUCAUGAAUAAUAAAACAAAUUAUUUUUAGGGUUUUCUUCUAAAAAUGUCAACCAUCGUUAUCACCUUUUUAGGGUUUUCUUUAUAUUAUAGUAAUUAAUAAUUGAAACCUAAUCAGAUCUUUUUGGAAAACAUCAUCAUUUUUCCACCAUUAUCCAUUUCUCUGCUCUCUCCUUUUUUGCAAUUAAGUUAAUACAUUAUUAUCAAACAAGUAGUGGUUGAACAAUUGCUGAUUAAUUGUUGUCCUUUUCCUUAAGGAACAGCUUAAUCUUUUUUCGAAGUACACAUACGGAAUUCAAUUAUUUUCCUUCAAUUCUGAAUUAUUUUCAUUUUUUCUUAAAUAAUCUCAUUAUAGAUUCUAAUUACAUCUACUAUUUUUGACAUAAUGUCUAGAACUACCCAUAGUCUCUCCCCAACCCAUUAAUAGGAGGGUAAUGUGCUUCAACGCACCGGACCCACAUCCUCCUACGUUUGCAACAAUUUCUAUGCCAAUCGAACUAAGACUCAGUCAAUAAUUCUGAAGCGCAUUAUCCUCCUAUUUAAGGGUUAAAAAUGAACUAUGAGUAGUUCUAGGUAUUGUAUAAAAAAAAUAGAUAUGUUAAGAAUCUAUAAUUAGAUUAAUGUUAAAAAAUUUUCUCCUUUUACAUAUCUUUUCUUCGACAUGUUAAGAUUAAUAAGGGUUUUUGUUGGAUAAUAUGGUUUGGGAUUUUGGAAAUUUUUAGUUCUUAGAUUCAUGUCUCAACCUAUGUAAAAGUAUGGAUUCUUUUCCUAUUUAUUCCGAUUAGUUAACUAGUUAGUAAAGAUGAAUUCAGAAAUUCUUUUAGGAGGGCCAAAAUUGAAUUAUAAUUUUUUGAGAUAUCAAAUAUAAAUUUUAACUUAUUAUUUUAUCAUGUUUGAAGGAACUAAAUAGAUUUUUUUUUUUGCAGGUCAAAACACAAUUUUUUCAUAUAUUAAUUUAUAAUUUGAUUAUUUCUAGAGAAGUUAGAAUUGUAAUUUUUCAAUUAAGGGCUCAACCUGCCCCCUUGUAUUCGCCCCUAUAUUCGCCCCUAUUAGUUAGUUUGAUUUAAUUGUUGAGUUAAUUAUUCAAUUCAAUACUUAUAAUGAAUAUUUUUAAUAUUUGUAAUAAUUGUUGAGUUAAAAAUUAAUGUAUCAUUAAUAGAUUUUUUUUAAAUAAAAAAUAAAAAAAGUAACACACAAAACACAUUAUAUUUUUUAUAAAAUUAAAAAAGUCUAUUUACCAAGCAAUAAUAUAUAUUCAUAUACUGAUAUUUUUUUUAUCAAUCUCAUUAUAAAUUUUGAUAUUUUUUUUACAUAAAGCUUAGAACUACUAAUAACUCUUUCCUGACCCAUAAAUAGGAAUAUAAUGUGUUUCAUAGUACUCAAACUCAUAUUUUUUUACAUUAAUAAUAAUAUCUAUACUAAUCGACUUAAGAUUUAAUAAAUUCAUAUAGUGAUUUUCGAGUAUUAGCGGUGAUGAGACAGAAUUUUGGCUCACAACUUUCCAAUGAAAUUUGUUGCUAUAAAUGAUUUCAUUUCUUUCACGGCAAAUAUAGCUAAUUCAAUAAUUGUGUGUACUUCAAAGAAGUGAUUGAUUUGAGAUGUACGUGUGUGUGUAAGGAUGAAAUUGAAAAAGAUUAAAAAGUGUCCUUUCUCUUUCUCCGCUUUUCUCUCUUUUUUCAUUCUGCAUAACAACAACCGAUCACUUACGGUCAUAGCAUAUCAUAUUAUGCAUUUACAAUCGACAAUCGAUAAUACCUUAUAUGAGGAGGUCUUAUUUUUUGUUUAAAUAAUUUUUUUAAGAUAAUAUUUUUGUCUAAAUUUUUUAUUUUUUGAAUAGGUAUUUAAGCUGAGUCGAAUAGUCCGACCCGUGGAUAAAUCUGAUUAUGCUACUACAUAUUUAACCGAUUCUUGUAUAUAUUUGAAUGAAUUUAAAUAAAAUUGGAUAUUAAAUAAUAUAAAUCAAGUCAAAUUUAAAUCGUAUUAUGUUGGGAUUUAAAUUUGUUUUAUUUUAAAAUAUUGUGUUGCAUGGAAAUUAAACCCAACCUAUAUGCAAUUUCUUUCUAUUGAAGAAAUGGAUGAAGGAGGGGGAGAGAGAGUGAUUGGGGGAUGGAUCCAUCAAACCCACCUAACAACUUUAAUAAGGUGUUAGGUUACUAGGUGGUGUCAAGUUCUCUCUUGGUUUUUCCUUUUCAUCUAAUUGAGAGGUGGUGGUGGUCAUGCACAUUAGUUUUGUUUUUCAGUUUUCAUUAUCUCUGGGUCUUAAUCAAUCUGCUCUACAAUUAAUUCUAACUGUUUUUAUUUUUAGGAGUACUGGAGUUUGAUUUAAAUCUUUUUAAUUUGAUUCGGUAAUUAUCAACUUGAGCUUGAGCUCGAGAUAUCGAUAAAAUUGAAUUCAAGCAGCUUGUGAGUUUGAGCUUAAUUCAUAUAUUUGAAUUACUAAAUUAUGUUAUUGCUCUUAAUAUAUGUUAUUAACCUUAAAUUUAAUUGUCGAACCGAGCUUGAGUUUGAGUAUAAAAAUUGGUAAAUGAGCUUAAUCAAGCUCGAGCCAAGCUUGAGCUUAAAAACAUAUGUUCAAUCGAGCUUGAGCCAAGUAUUGAGCUUCAAAUUUCGAGUUGAGCUCGAGCAUAGUAGUAUUUGGGCUCAGCUCAGCCCAAUUACAUCCCUAUAUGUAAAUGACCUUUUUAGUCCUUUAAAUACUUCACCGGUCAUUCUUUUGCAAAAACAGUUUAGGUUAAAAUAUGACAUAGGUCCUUUUACUCUUUGUAAAUUUAAAAUUUAGUUGCUAUACUUUUAUUUCUAGGAAUUAAAAAACAGUUCCAACCCCUUAUUCUGAAUCGAUACUCCGAACAGUUCCCAAUCCAAUCGAUUUGAUCAGCUAGGCUAAUUCACUUCUAAAAACAAUAGCUAGAACUAAUUCAAGUGUUUUUCUCUUACAACAUGUAAUCACUUUUUUUUAAUAUAUUUUAUAUCUGUUUCACCAAUCAUAUUCAGGGUUCACAAUUUAUAACUACUCCUCUCAACAAUAUUAUCUCUAAAGUUGAAACCUACAUGUAAUAUAGUGAACUUUUUGACCCUUUAAGUAAUUACUUCAUUCAUUCUUAAGCAAAACAAAUUAUUCUACUAUUUUACCGAUUGAGUCUUAACUCAGUUAGUAUUGACAUCAUUGCCAGUGCAAAAGGACGUGAAUUUGAGCGUGCUGAAGCGUGUUUAUCCUCCUAUUUAAGGAUUGAGACGAAUUAUGGAUAAUUAUAAACAUUCUAUCAACUUAAAAACUUCCCAAAACUUUCAAAAUUGAAUUAAAUUUGAAAAAAAAUAUAUAUUCUAUUUUUUUUAAGUGGGACUAUUGUUAGUAUCCCUGUUUUUAGGGGCUUCCCAGGUGGCCCCCUAACUUUAUGUUGUAUUAAUUAAUUAACUAAUUAAUAUCAUUAUACCCUCACUAUCUUUUUCCUUUCUUUUACUUAGCUUAAUGUGUUUCUUUUCUUGUUAAUAUAUAUCCUAUUUUUCACUUUAUAGCUUCCAUAUCAAAUUUAUGUCUUUGUUCCCAUUUUUUAUUUCCCUUAAUUAUUUGUUUUUAACUUUAUGUGUAACACAUGCUCAAACAUGGUUUUAAAACAAAUACAUGAUUCUUUUAAAAUGUAUAGGGGAAUCAAUUUUUUCGAGAUAAGUUUUAUUUUUAAAGUGUCAGUCUUUUUGGCAGUUAACUCGAAUUUUAAUAAUUGAAGGUAUUGUUCUCGUGUAGGGAUUUUGUCUUCGGCCUCUUAGAAGAGUCGUGUACGGUUUAUGGAGUGGGACACCUUGAUCGAUGAAGAUUGAUACUUGCAAAACUCAGGAUAGGUGUUAGUAUUGAGUGUGUGAAUAAUUACAGAGGUACCUAGGCGCAUUGUAACUCAAACCACCAAUGUAGCUUAUGUGGUACUAGGUUUACAUUUAAUGUGUAACACCCCUUACCCGUAUCCAACACCGGAAUAGGGUACGAGGCAUUACCAAAACACAUACACUUGUAAACGUAUUUAACCGAGUUAUAAAAUUUCAUCAAAAUUAAAACUUUCAAAAAUAAUUAACAUGUUUCUAUAACUUUUCACAAUAUAUCCUUAAAAUAUUAUAAUCAUAAUAAUUAGGGCCUGCGAGACCCGAUACAUACUCAUGCAAUUUAAUGCUUCAUUUCCAUUUCAUUCAAUUCGCAAUUUCUCAUGCUCAUAAUUUAAAUCAUAUCACUAGAAAUUUCCAUUUAAUUCACGUACAAUUCAAUGACAUCAAAUUCAAAACUAAUACGUAUUUACCAUUUAACUCAAUGUUUAUUGAUUAUACCAUUCAAUAACACAUUUAUGAAAUUCUCAAUUUAGCAAUGAAAAUAUCACUUUAGUUUGAAUAACAACAUCGUCCUGAUAUAAAUACACUACCACUUAUCCAUUUACUUUAAUUAUUUUGGGCCCAUUUGUCACUUACCAUCUUUAAUCAAAUUAGGGAACGGUCACGGAAAAUUGAGUACUUCACUUUCACUUUGCCAUAGUAUAACUAUGGUCUUACGUAUGAUCACUUAUCACUUGUCCCUGAUCAGAUAAGUGUAGCCACCUAUCACUUUGUUUCUUGAUCAGAUAAGUGUAGUCACUUAUCACUUUGUCUCUUGAUCAGAUAAGUGUAGCUAAAGCUAUCACUUAUCACUUUGUCUAUUGAUCAGAUAAGUAUAGCCGAAGCUAUCACUUAUCACUUUAUCACUUGAUCAGAUAAGUAUAGCCGAAGCUAUUACUUAUCACUUUCCACUUGUCACUUGAUCAGAUAAGUAUAGCUGAAGCUAUCACUUAUCACUUUGUCACUUGAUCAGAUAAGUAUAGCCGAAGCUAUCACUUAUCACUUUAUCACUUGAUCAGAUAAGUAUAGCCGAAGCUAUUACUUAUCACUUUCCACUUGUCACUUGAUCAGAUAAGUGUAGCUAAAGCUACCACUUAUCACUUUAUCACUUGAUCAGAAGUACUCAAAUCCGGCGUUCCGCUCAAUUUGAUCAUUUAUUCAUAUAUCAGGCUUACCAACAUGUGUUAAUUCAUAAACCAUUCAUGGUAUUAUUUCAUGCCAAAUCAUAUACUGAAUAUACCAUACACACAUACUAUGAAACUUUAUUUUCACACAUGAGCUUAAACCAUGACCAGUAAUGCACAAAAAUAAGCAUCAUUCAUAUUUCAUCGUUUAUGAGUUAUAAUCAAACAUAUGACCAUUUAUACACGAAUCAUUCAUAUAUUUCCCAAUUUUCCUCCUCCUCCUCUCCAUUCCACAUCCUUAAUGUGUAUAACACACUUAAACAACAUUAACCAUAAUUUCAAUAUUCACUAACAUGUAUAUUCAAAGCUGUUUAUCCGAGUCAGAGUCACUAAAUUAUUUUUAUCCGGAGCUACAGAGCUCCAAAUUAAGAUCCGUUAAUUUUCCCUGAAACUAGACUCACAUAUCUUCAUACCAUAAAAUUUUCAUAAUUUUUGGUUCAGCCAAAUAGUACAGUUUAUUCUUUAAAGUUUCCCCUGUUUUGCUGUCUGACAGUUCCGACCACUCUUCACUAAAAAUUAAUUAUCUCAUUGUACAGAAUUCGGAUGAUGUUUUAGCUUGUUUCUUCUAAAAAUAGACUCAUUAAGGAUUCUAACCAUAUAAACUAUAACUCAUAAUAAUUUCUGUACAAUUUUUAAUGAUUUUCCAAAGUCAGAACAGGGGAACCCGAAUUCAUUCUGACCUUGUCUCACAAAAUCUAUUAUAUCUCAUGAUUUACAAUUCCAUUGCUCACAUAAUUUCUUUUAUAAGAAACUAGACUCAAUAAGCUUUAAUUUCAUAUUUUAUUCGUCCUCUAAUUCAAUCUCUACAAUUUUUGGUGAUUUUUCAAAGUUACACUACUGCUGCUGUCCAAAACUGCUUUAGUGCAAAAUGUUGAUUUCCAUUUUGCCCCAAAUUUCACAGUUUAUACAAUUCGGUCCUUUCUCAAUUAACCCCUCAAUUAAUCUAAUUUUCUCAAUUAGUACUUUACUAGACAUUAUAAGUUGUUACACAACUAUUGAAAUUCAGAAUUGCCACAUAUAACUCUAUCUUCAAACUCUUUUACAAUUAGGUCCCAAACAUUCACUUUCUAUUCAAUUCUUUCAAUAAAAUCAGCAUAUGAACAAUUUAAAGCUCUAAUUUCAUGCUAAAUCAUCAUAUACUUCCAGCACAUAUUCAUAUCAACUUUCAACUUCUUUCAUAAAAUCAAAAACUAAUGAAUUUAACAAGUGGGCCUAGUUGUAAAAGUCAUAAAAAUACAAAAAUUUCAAGAAAUAGUCAAGAAUUGAACUUACUUGUAAUAAAAAUAUGAAGAACCAGCUUAAGGAAGCCCUUCCAUGGUG
rnacentral:lncRNA from 1 species